rnacentral:RNase_P_RNA from 1 species
ACGUUCGGGUAAUCGCUAUAGUUUUUUAACUGUAGAGGAAAGUCCAUGCUCGCACAGUCUGAGAUGAUUGUAGUGUUCGUGCCUAGCGAAACCAUAAGCUAGGGUAGUUCAUGUGAUGAACUAACGGCAGGGAAAAAGCCUAAGUCCUUGGAUAUGGCUUGAAUACUUUGAAAAGUGCCACAGUGACGAAGUCUUGUAAGAAAUUACAAGAGUGGAACGAGGUAAACCCCUCGAGCGAGAAACCCAAAUAAUGGUAGGGGCACCUUCUCUAAGGAAUUGAACGAUGAGAGGGACAGAUUUAGGUCUGUAGAUAGAUGAUUACCACCUAUGUACGAGGUUCAUUACCGAUUGUAGUACAAUGGAACAAAACAUGGCUUACAGAG